rnacentral:rRNA from 1 species
UACGUAGGGUGCGAGCGUUGUCCGGAAUUAUUGGGCGUAAAGAGCUUGUAGGUGGUUUGUCGCGUCUGCUGUGAAAAUCCGAGGCCUCAACCUCGGACUUGCAGUGGGUACGGGCAGACUAGAGUGUGGUAGGGGAGACUGGAAGUUCCUGGGUGUAGCGGUGAAAUGACGCAGAUAUCAGGAGGAACACCGGUGGCGAAGGCGGGUCUCUGGGCCGGUAACUGACGCU